rnacentral:lncRNA from 1 species
UAUGAGAGCUUUGUGGGACACCACCUCUUGGCUUCCAUUGAACACAGACUGAAUUAAGUGCUCUCAAAGCAAAGAUGUUAACCGAGAACCGGCUUAAGAAAAAUCAUGCAGGAAAACCAGGCAGAUGUGGAUGAAAACCAGGCUUACAAGGGCUUCAGACAGUUUGUUUCUAAUGGGCCAAAGCCAACAACAACCAAGUGUCCCAUCUGACCCUAUGCACAACUCCUUUCAAAGGAACACUACGAAGAGAAAUAGAUUUCUGCUUAAUGCUCCAGGGCUAGUGCUUGAGGAAGUUUACUGCUCCUACAAACAUGUAUACGUCUCUGCCAAAGUGUUUCCAGCCCAUGGAGUUCUUGAGAUGCUGGAUCUCAAAAGGUGGGUGUCCUCUAACUCAGUGUUUUUCAACUACUGGUCCAUAGACCAGCGCCACUCCCUGAAAUCUCCCUGACACAGUUUAGGAAGGCAGCAAGGUUCCUUGUAUCAAAAAGGUUGAGAAACACUGCUAACUUACAAAGUUCUUUGUUCAUGAAUGUUAGCUUCUCAAUAGUUACAAAAAACUUAAAUAAUAGGGAUCUGUGCCAUGGUUCUAUUUACCAGGAGAGGUCCUGAUUCUCCAUUGCCUUGAACCUUUGGGUUGUCAGGUACAUCAUGCAAAGUGAGUAUAAAACGCUAUCAGUCUGAGUUGUUAAAAAUUUGAACAAGUGUUAGUGAUGAUACAAGAGUGCAAGGAAGUGGAGAAUCAUAGAUGUUAAGGUCAGGAGGGACCACUGUGAUUAUCUAGUCUGAUCUGAAUAAUACCAGCCAUAGAAUUUUGCCCAGCAAUUCGUACAAAUGGGUAAUUACUGGCUGAGCUAUAGCAUAUCUUUUAAAAAAAUAUCCAGUCAUGAAAUUGGGUCUAAGGCUUCUUGAAUCACUUAAUGUUGUCAUGAGGAAUGCCUGUUU